ensembl:lncRNA
GAUGUUAUCCGUGCUAAACCACAUGCACACAUGGUGCUGAUGUUUAGUCUAAAUCACUCAGUGCUGAUGUUUGUGUAUGUGUUCAGUCUAAAUCACUCAGUGCUGAUGUUUGUAUAUGUGUUCAGUCUAAAUCACUCAGUGCUGAUGUUUGUAUAUGUGUUCAGUCUAAAUCACUCAGUGCUGAUGUUUGUGUACGUGUUCAGUCUGUAGCAAACCCCAUCUACAGCAUGGUGCAGAGACCACAAACAUCGUCAACAGAUCCCCUGACAUCCUAUCCAACCAGUCUGUAUGCUACUGUGAAGUAGACCUGAAUCUAGUGGUUAUAAGGACAUUAAGAAUUGAGCAGUGCUGUAGUCAAGCAUCUGAUAUCCCUGUCAAGGCAUUAGAGGACUAUUUUAGCUCUUACCUCUGGCUUUCCCUGCUGAUCCUGAAGAUGACUUGGGCCCAGCACCUUCUUCUGUGAAGAAAGAAUUUGUCCGGAAUGAAUGAAUGUAAAUGAAAAUGACUUUUCUCAAUACUGUAGCACUUUAGAUGGACUCGCCUCGCCUUACUUUGCAACCAUUUAUUUCCUAAAGCUGAUGCUUCGAAGAUAAUCUGCAAAUCUUACUUACAUUUUGUUUAAAUUGGUGUCACCUGUGUCUUCUAGUACAGACAGUUACUUACGUGUUCCAACCUGGUCCUUGAUGUCCCUCAGGUCUCUUUGGGCGCUGGCCAUCUGGUGUUGUAUGGCGCUAACCUUCUGGUUAGUGUUAUCCACCACAUCAUGCACGUCCUUCACCACAACCCUGGUCUCCUCUACUGACGCCAUUACUGGACAUUCAGCAUGGGGAAUGAAUAACAGAGCAGAGAAAUCCUUUACAUUAUACAUCAUACAUCCACAACCUCAUGCAUAACAUUAUACAUCAUACAUCCACAACCUCAUGCAUGACUUUUCCUUAACCCCUGGUUUCCUCAGCUGAUGAUAACACUGUGUGAUAACACCGGUCUGGUACACAUUACAUGUGUAAUCAUGUAAGAUCUGUCUAACAAUAACAGAUUGGAAAAAUCAUUCCUUGACUUUAAUUUUUUUCAACCAAGCUACAUAUUGCCAACUGCCUUGAACUGCUGCUAUGCUAAAAAUGUGACAAUCCAUAUUAUCAACUCAUAUCUCUAUCAAUGUAUCUUUUGAGAGAAAGUGUGAAAAUACCUCAAUGUGGGAAAAGAUCAUAGUGUCACAGACAAACAUUGGUGUUAAAAGCUUGGACAGGGAGCAGUAUCCACAAGUGGCUUUCCUUUGGAAACCCAAAACACACACCUCACCUCUCCUGAUUCUGUUUGUAACUACACCACUACUCUGAGCUUCAAAUACAGGAGAUAAUGUAAAGUUUCAAACACGCUAACCAACCAUUCCCCCCAGGUUAUCCCUAGAUAAGCUUGUAAACUAGCAAGACUCUUUUCUGCAUGUGAAGAGGUCUUACAUUUAUCCCAUUCCUGCUGAUCAAUCUUCAUGUCUUCACCAUUCUCCUUACGAAUCCUUAAAUCAUUAAACAUGUCUUCUAGAUUUUUCCGUUGUUCCACUUGCAGGGAGAGGGAGAGGUGGUGCGCUGCGAUACAGAGGUGCUUGUUCACCUCCUCAAAAUCUUUCCGCCAGGUGUCUGCAUUGAAUUUCUGCUUCCACCAAUUGGUUUCUUCAUACUUCUUCAGGAGGGUUUCUGCUUCUUCCAACACUUUCUUAAAUUCAUCCAGGGCCUUCUGCAGCAGUUCUUCAUUCACACCCUGGUUGGCCAAACCCUCCAGCUGAUCCACCACAGUCUUCACACGAUCUGCCAGACGCACACAGCCUUUCUUGUUUUUCUUCGCUUGCAUUAACUGCUUGUGAAUGGCCAGUCCUUUGCCAAUGAUGGCUGGAAUGGCUUUCACUACAGUUACAACAAUGGUUGCCAUAGCUACAAUGAGCCAGAUCAUUUGGCUGAGCAUAGCAAUAAGAGCCGGCUCUUUCGACAAAUAUAAAGCCGCUUCUCAGUUGCAUCCAUUCUCUGGACAUUCAGAAGAGAGAAUAGAACUGAAAGAGUACCCCAGCGUGGUGGGAGGGAGCGUGUCUUGACGGCUGAACAGGAGACUGCAAUAGUCAACAUGGUUCUGGAAAAUGAUGCUAACAACAAGCAAAUACAAAGUGUUGUUGACUGCACUGGCCUAUUUUCUAUUGUUUGUUCUGUGCAAAUCAUUUACACAUCUAGUUGUGUUUACUGUGAUGUAUAAGCUACAGCACUUUUAGAAAAAAGAAAUAAAUAUUUUUGUUGUCACUUUAUAUUUUUUGUGUUGUUUUAUAUUUGAGUAAAAACAUUAUAGUUAUAUUUUACAACAGGAGUAAGCGUACAGUAACACUGAACAUGAAAAGGUAUAGUGCUCCUGAUAAGGCCUUCAUACUGGUGUUUUCCCUUUCAUAGUAGUGUUUUCCAUUAAGCACUUCAGUGUUCAAUGAUUGCUUGGAAAUAUCUACUCAUAGGAUGGUCUGUGUUUGUCAUUUGAACACAAAAUACCAUUUUAAGGAGACAUGACAUUGUUUUGAUGGCAAAGGAGCAUUUUGCAGGAGAUAUGUAGGGUUUUGCAUUUUGUGUGUUUGGUUUUGGGAUUUGUGUUUAGAGUUUUGAGAAAAUGAGUUAUGCUUUCGAAAAAUGUGUGUAAGCAAUUGAGAAAAACUGUAAUCUUGUCUACAGCUGGGCUGUCCACCUCUAAGCAGUCAGUCUGUUUGGUUGUCAGCCAUUUUGAGUGAGGCUAUUCAUAGUCCAUAAAUAUUAAUCCAUGUCCAUCAAAUAAAAAAAGAAUCCCACUAUAACCACGGUUUUCAAACGGCGGGAAGAAGGCCAAGUCACGUCAAGGCCAAGUAGCCUACAUGCCCUUAGCGUGGAUUGUAGAGGUUGGAUACCCGUCCCAGGCACGUCGGAACCCCGUAAACCCGUAAAGUCACGCCCACGGAUGUUCCCUUAACCAACUCCUCCCUAAACAGGAAACGGGGAGUAGUGUAUAAUGCAGAACGGAACGCAGUUUAUAAAUGCUCUGGAAACUUUGAAAAGUAACAAUAACCACCAUAGUAAAUAACAGUUGAUUCAAAAGCUGUCCAUAUAUGGAGGCUUCUACGGUGGGUGUUCAAACGAAAGGGACAAAAUAGACGUAGCCUAUUCUCUCAUUUUGCCAGCCGGGGUUCGCGAUGAAUUACGUGGUUAUCUAACAUCUGUAGAACCAGCGAGCAUAGAAUCAGAAACUGCUGUCAAACUAAAAGUUUCGGGAUAGCAAAAGUGGAGUCAACUGUAAUCAAGCAAAUUAAGCAACGUUGUCAUUGUCUGUGACUACAUAAAGUAGUAGCUACUGGGAUCUAAACAGGCUGCUUUCUUUUUUAAACUAUUUGCCUCCGCCUCGUCCGUUAAUUUCGCGUAACGUGACAAGCAAUCCCUUUUUUAAAAAGUGAACUUAAAAUAUGAAUAUGUUUCUAAAUGUUAACCAUACCUGCCCUUAAACUUAACCCAUAUUUUACGUACAGUACACAAAUUACCCUUCAGUAGGCUACGCUUGAACGGUCCAGGGACUUAUUCUGAAAUCUCCAUGCAAGAUGAACGGUGGACUAACAAUGUGCCUUUGUUGUAAUCAAUCUGCAUUUAAGAACGUAAUUUACUGAGAAAGAUAACCAGCUAUAAGGUGAAUGUCAGGCAAAUGUCUACGUUCAUGUCAAGGUCAAGGUGCCCGAAUAUAUAAGUAUUGUUUAAACUAUAUAGAUUUUUUUUCAGUCGAUUUUAACUGAACCACAUACUGAAAUAUACGGGCGUUAGUGAAGAUCUUAACUGAACCAGAUAUAAUAAAUAUACAGGUAUUUGUGAAGCACAUUUUCAUUACUUUUCCAAAACUUUCUGGUCCUAUUUAUUUAUCCAAAACUUCAUCCGGCCUCGAAAUUGCCAUUUUAAAAUUCCAGGAUUUUUCCCAGUUUUUUUUUCAUUACUGUAUAAACCUUUAUCUAUCAACACCAUUUUACAUUUUUCUGCAUCAGCUCCUUCUCAUCUGCCAGUUCAAGUUCAACUGCAUACUUCAUGAAGAACUGAAGGCCUGCUGAUAGUAGCCUACUAAAUGCUUAAUAAGUGCAACUGCACAUAUGAACAGCUUGCCUUACCUUGUGUCUUUGUGUCUUUGGUGUUUGUGUUGUUGUCUUUUGAGAAUGGAACGAAGCCUGACUUCUUCCGUUGGGGGUUUUGCUCUGUUCUUCACACACAAACCACUCCCUCUCACAUACGCUGGUUUCAAACUUGGCCACAUCCCCUUCAGUGUCAAAGCAGACUAAACAGGACCGCCUGCGGUGAAAGUGGGGAACAUCUGAAAGUGUUUAGUCAACAUCUGCCAAAUCUGCUUGUAAGGACCUGCCUGGUA